UACGAAGGGGGCUAGCGUUGCUCGGAAUCACUGGGCGUAAAGGGUGCGUAGGCGGGUCUUUAAGUCAGGGGUGAAAUCCUGGAGCUCAACUCCAGAACUGCCUUUGAUACUGCGGGUCUCGAGUCCGGGAGAGGUGAGUGGGAAUUCCUAGUGUAGAGGUGAAAUUCGUAGAUAUUAGGAAGAACACCAGUGGCGAAGGCGGCUCACUGGCCCAGCUACGUGACGCUGAGGCGCGAAAGCGUGGGGAGCAACAGGG
rnacentral:rRNA from 1 species